rnacentral:lncRNA from 1 species
GCCAUAUUUUUCAAGCCUUCAUUCUGAAUUUAUGGGUUCGAAAAAUUCGCUUUUUUUAAGCGACGACGAAUGAUUUGAACGAAGAGGAAACAGCGGGCAUGACUGAAUAACGUUCAGGUAAGCAUAUUGUUAUGUUAUAUGUAUAAUGGAGCAGUUUUGAAAGUAAAUAUUCGCUAUCUUCAUUCAUGAAUUUUGAGCAUGUGUUCAUGUUUAAAAUUUGAAUUUGCCGCGACAAUAUUUGAAUUAAAAAGAUGAUAUAUUAGUUUUAUAGAAGGCUUACAUUUGACUUUAUAUUAAAUUAUGUUUGUUGUAUAAAGGGCAACUAAUAUUUGUGUAUAUGAAUAUAUGACAGACUACCAGAUAACAAUGUUUCUGGUAUAAAGUAUAAAUAUAGCUUGGCAUCUACUCAAUCAUCAUAUGCUCAAGUACACAUGUCCCAGCUAAACAUGGUUUGAGAAAAUGUAACCACUUGUUUCAAAUCAACUGCUACUUUCAUAAGUUUCUAAUUUUUAUAUAUCUAGGUUUUUUAUGUCCAAAUUCUUCAAUCAAUGAAAAAAUCUAUUUCACUGUUAGAGGUGUUAUGCACCAGUCAAUGAAAACCUAUACAACUCAGCCCCCCCACCCCACCCCCCGAAUAUAAGCCCAGUAGCCCACUACGUUAUUCAACAUUGACAUUGUCUUUUAAUUAACCCAUUAAGCUGCGGAACUUCCCCAUUGACAAGUAAAAUUGUCUGGCAUAAGACAAGUAAAAAAAUAAGUAAGGCACACUGGGGUGCAUUGCGGCUUGAUGGGUUUACCAGAGACAUUGUCAAAUUUUUUGGUCAACCCAUUAAGCUGCAGAGUUUCCCCAUUGACGAGUGAAAUCGUUUGGCGUUAGACAAGUGAAAAAAAAGUAGAGCGCACUGGGGUGCGUUGUGGCUCAAUGGGUUAAUAUAUCAGAGAACAAUAUUUAAAAACAUUGUCUUUAUAGCUUAAGUCAACAACAAAACGUCGUUAAUUAAUCAAAGUGCAUUAUUACUAUGUGUUUAUUUUCCUGUUUAUGACUGACUUGUUUAUUAUACUAACACAAAAGAUUGAAUGUCCAUGUAUAAGCUCUAUCCCUCCUAUAUACUAACCCCCGCCCUUUGUAUAAGCCCACCAAAUAUAUAGCCCAGGGUUUAUAGUCCGAGAUUUACGGUAUUCCAUGAACCCAUUAAGAUGUGAUGUUGUGAUGGAUUAACAGACUGUGUGUGCAUGUCUCGUUACCAUUAGCACUUACAUACCCUAAUUUAACCCAUUAAGCUGCAGAGCUUCCCCGUCGACGAGCAAAAUCGUCUGGCAUUAGACGAGUAAAAAAAUAAGUAGGGCGCAUUGCCGCUCAAUGGGUUAACUCGAGACAUUGUCAGAUUUUUUGGUCAACCCAUUAAGCUGCAGAGCUUCUCCAUCAACGAGUAAAAUUGUCUGGCGUUAGACAGUAAAAAAAAUUAGGGCACACUGGGGCACAUUGCAGCUCAAUGGGUUAAUUUCUAUUUGACUUCAGUCUCACACCAGUUGUUGGUUGUUCAUAGCAGGCCUUAAAAUAUCUUUUACAGAGCCGUCUGACAAAAUGUCCGAUGACAUUGAGUUUGGGUCAGACGUAUGUCUGAUAACCUUCAGUUCAAUUUCGAGACUCGAAAAUAAGUCUGAAUGCCGACAAAAUGAAUAUCAGCAGAAUGUAUUAAUUCUGAACGGUAAAUGUUGUGAAGAUAUUAAAUAAUUUGUUUGUUUCAUACUUAUUUCCAAGCCAAAAUUUAACUUGCUUUCCAGAACAGCAGUAAAAGACUUAGACAACUGAAGCCUGUUUUCCACUUCACCAUGCAUUUCGCUCCCCGUGCUUGACUAUGUUAAAAAAAUUCCAGUUCACCUUUUAUAUAAUAGUACUCUGAUUUUCCAUUUAACAUACGAGCCUCUAGUCCUGGGAUAGGGUACAUUUUGAUUUACAUUGGACAAAGCUACAGUUUGGUCGGACACAAAUACACUCAGGUCGGACAAACAAUAAACCUCAAUUUCACUUUGGUCGGACAGAAUGUCUGGUGGUUUCCUCUCUACGUCGGACAAUUUCACUAAUGGGUCGGACAAUGUCCAUGACCGACCGAUAUUUAGAUGCAAUUUUCCCUACUCCCUACUUUAAGUACUUUAAUAUUGAACUGUGACGUCUCAUGCUAGACAAUUUUACUUAUCGACUGCAUGGACUCAUUUCACCUAUUAACACAGAAGAAACAAUUUCCUCUUAAAUGUUGCCUACUAUUGGUUCUUUCUAGGGGUGUGCAGGACAGAGUAUUUCUGCUAUCCAGCCAGAUACAGGAUAUGCUGGAUGGCUGAAAAAUAUCCAGCCUGAUUCAGGGUAUUAUUCAAAUAAUUAUAUAAGGUUCAGGCAUCAUUUAAGGUUAAGUACUGGUAGGAAUUUUAUUUGGUUAAAAAGUAAACAGUCUAAAACUAGUAAACAUGCAUCAUUGGUAGCAAAAGCCUCGUUUACAUCAGUUAAAAGUUCAAAUCCCCAUUUACUGUACAAACAAGCAUUGAAAAUACUGAUCAUAUUUAUCAUAUUUUUACUUCAAUGAUCAUGAUAUGAUAACCUUAUCAAAUCAUUUUCUAACCUGAAAGAAGGCCUGAACCCUAUAUGAAUAAUAUCCGGCAUUGGGUAGCCGGAUGCCAGAUAAUGAAUUAAAAUCUUAAUAUCCGGCCAGAUACAGUAUCAGUCCAUUGCAUCCUAUGUCUUGAAAUGCCAAACAAAUUAUGAAAUUAACUUGUUAAAUGACUGUAUAUUGAUAUUCAAUAUACUUAGCUAAUAUAUGCACCCUUUUAUUGUUAACCCUUUGAGCAGCAAUAUGCCCAAGUGCACCCUACUUUGUUAUGUUGCACUUAUCUAACACCAGACAUUUUACUUUGUGAAAUGCCAGACAAUUUUACUCCUCAAGAGCAGUGUCCUGCUCACUAAUGGUUAUCCAAACUAUAUCUGCCAAUGUGCCUUGAUAACCCAUUAAGCCGAAAUGCACCCAAAUGGACCCGCCUUUGUUAUUUUACUCUGUCAAACGCCAGACAAUUUUAGUCAUCAAGAAGAGAGUCCUACGUGCUAGUGGGUUAAAUGACUUAAUUACAUAUGUUAUAUAUAAACUUAAGCUGUUAGAUUGUCCCAUUGUAUAUUAAUUUUUUACUUAUCUUGACACAGGCUUGUAUGUUGGAUUGAUACGACUACCUGUAAAUAUGGUUAAACUUGGCUAUGUGAUUCAAAGGUUGUGGUUCACCGAGCAAUAAAGAAAAUGAUAGAAAGAUGGAAUGAUUGGAUGCAAGUUAUUUACAGUGUUUUAUAUGACAGGUAUUCUGAUUGUGGAAGAUGUGGGCUUGCAAUAUUUUGACAAUUGCAUGGCUAUAAAGUACGAGACAAUUAAUAUAGUAGUCCAUUACUCUAAUUGCCAGAACACUGCAUCAGAAUGAGAAGUUGUCUGUUACAGUUCGGUUUAGUAAAAG